rnacentral:lncRNA from 1 species
UUCCUUUCAGAAACCUUGCAAUAUAUUGAGAAGAAAAAUCACCUUUUUUGGGGGGAAUUUAGUUGUGUGACCUAUGAGUCUCUCACCAGGAAGAUUUUCCUCCCUGUCUCACUCUUUUUAUAUCUGAGUGAUAAUGACUCUCUUUUGUUCUGAAAAUAUUAAUGGCAGGAGCUCUGCCUGUUUGAUCAAGAAGGAGCAGCAAAGAAGAUAUAUCAGAUGCUUAUGUGAUUAUACAGAGAAAAGGUGACAAUGACUAAUCACUUGCUUGCUUGAUCAAAAGUAGCCUCUGCUCAUUUCAUCUUGUACUGGUUGAUCAAUUGUAAAUGGAACCAUGACAAUUCAGAUCCACACGCCAAUUAGUGGACACCAUAGGCCACACUGUUCUUCAGAAAACGACUGACAUGGCACCCCAAGCUCAUCCCGUCCAUUAAUAAGACGCCGCUUUGCCAUGUAAUGCUUUGUCAUAACAAUGACUUGCAAUUAAUCAUCUAAUAUCUCAAGACUUGCAGUUCC